rnacentral:sRNA from 1 species
AAAUAAUUACUAGAUUUUAAUCCGCGGUAUACCGCGGGACGAUUUAUUUUUAAAAGUAAUAUAUAUUAAAACUUGCAAAUUUUAUUUUUACAAAAUAUUUAUAUUUUACAGUUUAUAAUUGUUAUUAAGUAACGGUAUACCACGAAUUCAUGAGACAAUUGUUAAAAAAACUGAAGUUUUGACCCCUAUUAAAACAACAUAUUAAUAAUAUUUUAAAAUUUUAUAAAUAUUGAUUCAAAUACAUCCACCAUAUAACCCAAUUCCAAAAUAAAACACGUUCUGUAAUUUUUUUAUCCGUCCCAUGAUUUUUUUCAAAGUAGUAAUUUUUAAAAUUUUAGAAUUAUUUUUUAUAUAUAAAAGUUUUGCAAAUUGUAUCAUUCUCUAAUACAUUUAUAUUUUAUAGUUUAAUUUUAUAUAUAGUAACAUUAUACAUACCAUAUAACA